rnacentral:rRNA from 1 species
GGGAAACUCACCAGGUCCAGACAUAAUAAGGAUUGACAGAUUGAUAGCUCUUUCUUGAUUUUAUGGGUGGUGGUGCAUGGCCGUUCUUAGUUCGUGGAGUGAUUUGUCUGCUUAAUUGCGUUAACGAACGAGACCUUAACCUGCUAAAUAGGAGCACAUAUCUUCGGAUAAGUGCCUUUCUUCUUAGAGGGACUUUAUGUGUUUUAACAUGAGGAAGUUUGAGGCUAAAA